CAAAAAAAGUCGACGACUCGCACGCACGGGCGAGCGAGCGAGGCCUCCCCCUCGAUCCCCAACCAGGUCACAGAUCCCUUCGCCCCUGCCCUCGCACUCGCAUCAAGCCGCCGCCUCCAGAUCGUCCUCGAUCCUUGCGCUACCUCCCUUCUCCGCCGGCGAUCUCUUUGCAAACGCUGAUCCGCUUCAUGGCCGCCACCGCUCCUUCUCGUCUAUACAGCGACUGCCGGUCUCCACCACCAACGCCAUAUCAUUUCCUCAUCGUUCUGGAGCGGCGACACGCAGGUGAUGGCGACCUAUGUAGGCACCCAUAAUUCAUGGAAGAGAACCCACAGCAACUGCAGAAGAAAAGAAGUUGGGAUCUGAGAGAUCUGGAGAGCUUAGUGCAAAAGUAAAUCAGGCAAGCCCUUUUCCUCUGAAGAAGUUAUAUUGAGACGAACGAAUGCCCUGCUGUCCAAUCACUUGCCACCAAAGAUUGUUGAAGUAGUGUGCCGCAAGCUGACUCCCUUACAGAUGACACUGUACAACCACUUCACACACUCCAAAAAUAACUUAUUAUGCCCACGACCACUGCCAUGGACUUUGUGGCCGGCCUGCUUAUCCUUGAUGUGGCUACAAUGCGCGAACCAGUGUUCGACUUUGAACGCCGACAUGGACGGCGGCCUCAAGUGCUACACCAUCUUCUUGGAUAUGUGGAGAGGCUUUUUGCACUGCAGUUCAAGACAUACUGUAGAUUACAUGGCUAAAGAAAAUUAUUUACGAUUAAUAAAUCAUGUUCUUGCUAAAUUAUUAAGUGUUCAAGCAUGCCUACUAUGAUCCCGUGCUUCCUCUUUGUGUAUGGCUUGCUGUGAAAACACUAAACAUAACAUGUGCUUGAUUAAUUCAGUAUACUACUUCUCUUAAGAAGGUUAGGGUCAACGAGGAAGCACAUAACUGUGUUUGAUGCAUUCUUCAGGUUGAGGGUCUGAUAAUGGACUUAACACAACUGCUGGAGAGAGAUUAAAAUAUUGAAUAUGGUAGCAGAGGAAGCUGAAGUUGGUAGAUUAAU